CCACGAACAUAAAACACUAAGUCACAAACCCCCCAAUAAACCUACGGGAAUCGGUUGCCUAAAACUGAUUGCCGUAACUCGCCGGAAGUCCCGUAAAUCGCACCGGGACUCCGUCGGGACCCACGAACUGUCCCGAAACUCACCGACUCGUGCUUCGAGUCACCCGCUGCCUCUAAACACAAUUAUUUGUGCGACAUGCAGCAAACACACCGCCUCACAUCGAACCGAUUAUCGUCAGAUAAUCGUUCCGAUCCGGGUUCCCAGAAGUGUCCAAUACGACACCGGAACCCACCGUCGCUCACCUGUCAUUUUCGAACUCUCGAAAU
rnacentral:lncRNA from 1 species